rnacentral:rRNA from 1 species
AGCAGCCGCGGUAAUUCCAGCUCCAAUAGCGUAUAUUAAAGUUGUUGCAGUUAAAAAGCUCGUAGUUGAAUUUCGGGAUCAAUAUAUCGGUCGUGCCUUCGGUACGUACUGGUAUCAUUGGUUUCUCCUUUCUGACGAACCAUGAUGUCAUUAAUUUGGUGUUAUGGGGAGUUAGGACUGUUACUUUGAAAAAUUAGAGUGUUUAAAGCAGGCUAACGCUUGAAUACAUUAGCAUGGAAUAAUGAAAUAGGACGUUUGAUCCUAUUUUGUUGGUUUCUAGGAUCGACGUAAUGAUUAAUAGGGAUAGUUGGGGGCAUUAGUAUUCAAUUGUCAGAGGUGAAAUUCUUGGAUUUAUUGAAGACUAACUACUGCGAAAGCAUUUGCCAAGGAUGUUUUCAUUAAUCAAGAACGAAAGUUAGGGGAUCGAAGACGAUCAGAUACCGUCGUAGUCUUAACCAUAAACUAUGCCGACUAGGGAUCGGAUGAUGUUAAUUUUUAAUGUACUCAUUCGGCGCCUUAC